CACGUAGGGUGCGAGCGUUGUCCGGAAUUAUUGGGCGUAAAGAGCUCGUAGGCGGUGUGUCACGUCGGCCGUGAAAACCUGCAGCUUAACUGUGGGCGUGCGGUCGAUACGGGCAUCACUGGAGUUCGGCAGGGGAGACUGGAAUUCCUGGUGUAGCGGUGAAAUGCGCAGAUAUCAGGAGGAACACCCGGUGGCGAAGGCGGGUCUCUGGGCCGAUACUGACGCUGGAGGAGCGAAAGCCGUGGGGAGCAAACAGG
rnacentral:rRNA from 1 species